CGAAGCAACGCGAAGAACCUUACCAGAUCUUGACAUCCAAUUGACCAUCUUUUAAUCGUAGAUUUUGCCUUCGGGUACAAUUGAGACAGGUGGUGCAUGGUUGUCGUCAGCUCGUGUCGUGAGAUGUUGGGUUAAGUCCCGCAACGAGCGCAACCCUUGUGUUUAGUUGCAAACAGGUCAAGCUGUGCACUCUAGACAGACUGCCGUGGACAACACGGAGGAAGGUGGGGAUGACGUCAAAUCAUCAUGCCCCUUAUGAUCUGGGCUACACACGUGCUACAAUGGCCGGUACAACGGGCAGCGAAGGAGCGAUCCGGAGCGAAUCCUAAAAAGCCGGUCCCAGUUCGGAUUGCAGGCUGAAACUCGCCUACAUGAAGUUGGAGUUGCUAGUAAUCGCGAAUCAGAAUGUCGCGGUGAAUGCGUUCCCGGGUCUU
rnacentral:rRNA from 1 species